AGAAAAAAAGAGACACAUUUUUACAAUGCAGUUCAGAAGAAACAUGAAAAACCAUGAAUUUCCAUCCUGAGCUGAGGACCCUGAUGUUCGGUCAUGUUCGUUAAAGCCAGGUUGUCGUUGUGGCCUUAUCUCUCUGUCUUUCAUGCCAAGGUCAAUGCUCUCUCCUAACCAGGGAUGAACCCAUCCAUUGUAUUCGUGGAUUGUGCAAACUGCUCCGUGUCCAGUUGUUUUGUUAUGCUGUGCCCUAUGCGUGUCGCUUCAGUUGCAGGUUAGAAGUUCAGGCUGCAAUAAAACCUGAAAAUGUU